GACGAACGCUGGCGGCGUGCUUAACACAUGCAAGUCGAACGGAAAGGCCCUGCUUUUGUGGGGUGCUCGAGUGGCGAAAGGGUUAGUAACACGUGAGUAACCUGCCCUUGACUUUGGGAUAACUUCAGGAAACUGGGGCUAAUACCGGAUAUGAGCUCCUGCCGCAUGGUGGGGGUUGGAAAGUUUCGGCGGUUGGGGAUGGACUCGCGGCUUAUCAGCUUGUUGGUGGGGUAGUGGCUUACCAAUGCUUUGACGGGUAGCCGGCCUGAGAGGGUGACCGGCCACAUUGGGACUGAUAUACGACCCAGACUCCUACGGGAGGCAGCAGUGGGGAAUUUUGCACAAUGGGCGGAAGCCUGAUGAAGCAACGCCGCGUGCGGGAUGACGGCCUUCGGGUUGUAAACCGCGUUCGCCUGUGACGAAGCGUGAGUAACGGUAAUGGGUAAAGAAGCACCGGCUAACUACGUG
rnacentral:rRNA from 1 species